AUUGAACGCUGGCGGCAGGCAUAACACAUGCAAGUCGAGCGAGCGGCGGACGGGUGAGUAAUGUAUGGGGACUGCCCGAUAGAGGGGGAUAACUACUGGAAACGGUAGCUAAUACCGCAUACUAUCGGAUAACCCAUAUGGGAGUAGCUAGUAGGUGAGGUAAUGGCUCACCUAGGCGACGAUCCCUAGCUGGUCUGAGAGGAUGAUCAGCCCGACCGGGACUGGGAGACGGCCCAGACGCCUACGGAGGCAGCCGUGGGGAAUAUUGGCCAAUGGGCGCAAGCCUGAUUCAGCCAUGCCGGUGAUAUGAAGAAGGCCCUAGGGUUGUAAAGUACUUUCAGUCGGGAGGCGUUACCGACAGAAGAAGCACCGGCUAACUCCGUGCCAGCAGCCGCGGUAAUAC
rnacentral:rRNA from 1 species